rnacentral:tRNA from 1 species
GAAGGUAUAGCUCAGGUGGUAGAGCACAUGCUUAGCAAGCAGGUGGUCCUGGGGUUCAAUCCCUAGUACCUCCU